AGUGAACGCUGGCGGUAGGCCUAACACAUGCAAGUCGAACGGCAGCACAGUAAGCGCUUGCUCUUACGGGUGGCGAGUGGCGGACGGGUGAGGAAUACAUCGGAAUCUACUUUUUCGUGGGGGAUAACGUAGGGAAACUUACGCUAAUACCGCAUACGACCUACGGGUGAAAGCAGGGGAUCUUCGGACCUUGCGCGAUUGAAUGAGCCGAUGUCGGAUUAGCUAGUUGGCGGGGUAAAGGCCCACCAAGGCGACGAUCCGUAGCUGGUCUGAGAGGAUGAUCGGCCACACUGGAACUGAGACACGGUCCAGACUCCUACGGGAGGCAGCAGUGGGGAAUAUUGGACAAUGGGCGCAAGCCUGAUCCAGCCAUACCGCGUGGGUGAAGAAGGCCUUCGGGUUGUAAAGCCCUUUUGUUGGGAAAGAAAAGCAGCAGGUUAAUACCCCGCUGUUCUGACGGUACCCAAAGAAUAAGCACCGGCUAACUUCGUG
rnacentral:rRNA from 1 species